GCACGGGGCCGCCCUCGCCGGGAGCCGGCCGGGGAGCGCGUCCGGAACGCCUAUGGCGCGGGGCCUGCGGGGCUGGGGCGGCUCUGCUCCUCAGCUGCGGCACCGCGCUGAAGCCCCGCGACUACUGCUAUUUAUACCGGCCGCUUCGUGCUUGCUGAAAUGCCUCACAGAUGUUUUGUAUAUCUGGCGUGAGGUUUUUUUUUUUUUGUUUGUUUGUUUUUUUCGGGUUACUUUUUUUCGCUGUCUUCAAAACUCUUGUUUUGAAGAACAAGUCUAUUGAGAAGUCGCUGAGGGAACUGGGGUUGUUCAGUCUGCGGAAGGGGAGGCUCAGGGGAAGCCUUAUCACUCCCUACAACUCUCUGAAAGGAGGUUGUGGAAGGUGGAGGUCGGCCGCUUCUGUCGGGUAACAGCGAUGGGGGGGGAGCCUCAAGUUGUGCCAGGGGAGCGCAGGUUGGAUAUGAAGAAAAACUUCUCUGAAAGAGUGCGAGUGCAUUGGCACAGGCUGCGCAGGGAGGAGGUGGAGUCACAGCUCCUGGGGUGUUCAAGAAGCGCGGAGAUGUGGUACUGAGGAACGAGGCUAGUGGGCACGGUGGAAUGGCUGAUGGAUGGGCCAGAUGAUCUUAGAGGUCUUUUCUAAUUGUAAUGAUUCUAAAUGUGUCUGCUGUAACAGGCGAAGUACUUAAUCAGUAUAAUUCUCUCCUGGAGAGGAGAGAGAAAGGGGUGGGGGGAAAAAAAAAGGCAGGGAUGUGACAGUGAGGUACAUGGACAGGGGCCAGCUGUCCGUGCUCAGCGCUGAGUGGAGCAGCCCGGAGCUGUGGCCAGAGCACAAAGCUGGGGGCUGCUGCUUGCUCUGUUCUGCCUUGAAUGAAAGCCGCUCUCUGCCUGCGGGAAGUGAUGGUGGGUCAAAAUUGAGCAGAAUCUCUAGGAUUCUUGGGGACAGCUAAACAUAGCAUAACUUCUCAAGGUACAAGUAUUUGCAGUGUAGACGCAUCAAUCUGAAAAAUGCAUGACUAAUAUGUCUGAAAUGUUUUCUGUUAAUGCUUUUGUGACUUGCUGCAUCAGAAGAAUAGCAAGCUCUUGUAAAGUGGAAGUGUCUUGUUUGAUGUGAAGAGCAAUGGAAUACUGUUCUUCUGUUCCUUUAACAGUAAUACUUGUGCUUCUGUUAAGUUCACUUGUAGACACUUCUGCAUUCAUUUUGAAACGUAACACACUUCAUGCUGGCUAUGAAUCCUGUAAAAAUCUUAAGUUCAUCAUAGAAAGCAUUUUCUCUUAACAAAAAAGUUUUGAGUUGUACUGUAAUACUUAUACAUGGUUAAAAUACUGCAUCACAGUUAACUGAUACAUUCAUUAACAUGUGGAAAUCAUGGGGCUUGCAGGGACAAGGAGCUGUCAAGAUGAGUAGUGCAAGUGAUUCGUUCAGUAGAUUUCAGCUUGCAGUACUUCCAAUGCAGUAAUAGCUCCCCACUUUGAGGUUCUGCAGUGCAAUUAUUGCUUCUGAUCCUAUGACUCUCUGAGUUCUAUGGGAUGCGCUCCACAACACUUGUGCCUCUCUGGCUUCAGCUGAAGCUCCUGAGUUCUGAUGAAGAGAGGUCUGCCUGCAGAGUGAACAGCUGUAGUAGGUGCUCUGCUUGUAUGGGUGUUCAGCCACAGUGUGUGAAAUGCUUUUCCCUGAAAGGAAGACUUCAGAUGUAACUUUGCUUCUGAGCUUAGCCUGCCUCACUGAAUUGUAUGAUUUUGUUCUUUCUUCCUAUGCCCCACCACAAGGAAGCUCAGUCUCAAAAAGUAGGACUUAUUUCAGAAAUCCAGAAAUAUAAUUAGUUUUUUUUUUUCCUACAGCUUGCCAAUGCCAGACCAUCUUUCAUUUGGGGCCAUUUUGGAAGCCUCCGAUUUUCCGUUUUGGAAUCCUCUGAUUUUCUUUCCUUGCUUGCCAGCUGAAUAAGAAGACAGGCUGUUGAGUACAGUUUAUGUGUUAAUUCACAGUGAGCCAAUAGAUGUGUAAUCUGAGGUGAUGCUUAAGAGAAAGAUGUCCUGGUUUGGUAGAAUACAGAAUUGACUACAUUAAGAAAAAUACAAAAGCAAAGUUCUGUUUCCAAACUGUAUAGUGCAAGUAUCAUAGAGUACAGGAUGGUGAACACUGACCAGCAGAGGCUAUUUUAUCCGUGAAAACGUGUCACACACAGCAACACCAUUCUCCAGCUCACCAGCCUUACUACAGGCAGUAUAGGCUCUGUAGUUUAGAGCAAAAUUGAAUCCCUGUGACUAUUGCAUCAGUAAGCAACUGGUGGUAGCUGAGAUCUUCACCUGUGCAAUGCUGAGGAGAUGUGAAAAAUGGGUUAAGAAAGAUGUCUCCUUCAAAGAAGGAGCCCCAUACAGUUACUUUUUUUUUUUUUUGAAGUUCAUUUUGUUGAUGUUCUUGAGGUACAGGUAAGGCAGUGUACUAUAUUGAGGUUGGAGUGGAAUUUGAUGGAUCUUCUAUAAUGUACUAAAUCAGUUUUUUUGUUUCUUUAACUGAGGAUCUUAAUGUUUUUAUUGGCUGGUAUUUGGAAUGGAUGUGUGCCUCUUAGGGAAGGGUUUGGGUUUGGCUUGGUAUUUUUUGUAGCUGAAGAUGUACCACAAAAAUGACAGGAUUGUUUGGAGGAGAAAAAUUAGUCAAGCUCAAUAGGCUGGGAGUAAUUUGGAGCUUGCCAAAUAUACUUCAAGUUUAGUGGGCAGUAAAAUGAAAUCUUGAGUGAUCAAGCUUGACUUGAAGGAAAUUACCUUAUGGUACUUUAGUGGUUUUCUAAUCUCUUUCAUAAAGCAUUAAUCAAAUCUAUCUUUUUUUUUUAGAAGGGACUUCUGUCGAAGAUGACUAAUAGCAAUGCAGUAAACUUAAACCUUUCAUACCCUGUAUAAAUAACUUACCAAUUUUGUGGAAGGGAAAAAUAACUACUUUCCAGUAGUGACUUAACAGUUCUAUCUUCAGAAUAACGUUAUAAUACCACAAAACAGAGAAAGCAUGUUCUAGUCUGCCAUUUUAAACUCUGUUUGCUUACUGCCUUGUAUAGAUUCUGAUUUUCUGCUGUUAAAGAUAUGGACUACACUUGUCACUUGUCUCUAGUGCUUCAGACUGAGCUGCUUCACAGCAGAACCUUUGCUGCUCUGCCAAACAUCAGCAGUCCCAUAGAUGAAGCAGCUGAGCUUAUCAUAUAGGGAAUAAAUUCUGUGCAUGAUAGGAUAGCAAAGGUGAGUGUGUGAGGAGGCUUAAGUACACACAGCUUAAGCUCAGAAGUGGUGUCAGUGGCUCAAGAAGGUGUUGGCUUUUUAGGGGCUGAGUUGUCUUACCAGGUCAAUAUUCUGGAAGAUUUGACUCUUUACUUGAGGCCAAAUGUUGGACCAUCGACCACUGUUGCUAUUUUUCACUUUGAGUGAGUUCAGUCUGUGAACUGGUCAUAAUUAAAGGUGUUCACAAAUAAAGUGUCUGAGAUGGCUUGGAAAGGAGGUUUUCAUUUCCUUUAAUUGAUGUUGCAGCUUGUAUAUUUUUUCCAUCCUCUGUGUUACAUAUGCUGUUUUUUUUCCAUUUUAAGUUAUGUAUUGUAUAAUGUUUGCAUAUAUCCAAUUUCUGUUCCAUGAACUUUUAUGGAGAGAAAUUAUUUUACUGUCUAUUGAAUAGUUAAGUAUUGCAUUGCUUAGAAAUACAUUCUGGAUGCUGUGAUGAGCCUUUAUUCACUUACUGAGAUUUGGAGGCUUAGGAAGCUAUACUGAUAUCUUUCUGCAUCAAUGACAGUUACUGUGCCAGGUCAGCUAUGAGCAUUUUGUCUUGCAGUUGUGGUGCAUCAGAUGUUUCUCUUCAGUCCUGCAAGCCCAACCAUUACCUCACCAUGAGCACUGGUACUGAGGCAAACACAUGAAGCUUAAAAUACAAAUAUGCAUCUCUCCCACAUUUUUGUUUUCAGUCUCUCCUUGACAGCUGUCCUAUCUCAUCCUCGUGAACAAUGAAGUUAUCUCCUCAAGCAGUCAGUCUGUUCUGGGUAUGUAUCCAUGGGCUUUUCUCAAGUGCAGGAAAUGACAAAGGCUCACGGGGCAGUGCAGAAAGAACAGCAUUUUCUGUGGACAGUCUGUGAGUUACCUGGUAAUGGCUGAUGCCCAUUGGACUGGAAAUCACUCGAGUUUGUGGAAGAUGCAACAUACCUUGAAACCCCUGUCAUAAUUGCAGUGGUAAAAUUCAAGUACAUUGCUGAACAUAGUUAAUAUGGAGAAAUGGUGUGGAGAAUUGAUUGGGAAAGCAGUUUUCUUGUCCUAGACUUUCUCCUGGCAGAGCUGGCUUGCCUGUAUCUCAGGGUGUGUGAGAGAGGAGCGAGCUUAGUGAAAUGAUUAAUUGGGAAAGAAAUCAGCUUGCUGUUUUUCAGAGCCUCAUUGAGGAGGGCAGAAAGGAGAAAACAAUAAGGUGUGGGUUUUUUUUUUUUUGGUUUUUUUUUUCAGGUCUGUAGUAACUUUCGGAGGCUUUUUUGGUGUUGUCUUUUUUCCUUCAUUGCUUCCUGCCAUACUGAAAAAGUGAGUUGUUAGAGCAGCUCAUCUGAACUGUACUGUGUCUAAAUGUACUGCCAAAUAGCAAGUUAGUAGGAGUGCUAGAAGAGCUCCGAAGAUCUCAUGAGAAAAUAGACCUUUUCAUUGUGUAUUUCUACAUUACAUGUGUAUAUAUAGUGGAAAUCUAUGAUUACUGUUGGGUGUUAUUUCUUUAUAACAUGCAUGUAAUAUGUAUUUGCUUACCUUUGAAAUAACGUCAUCCUACUUUGAUGUAUCUUCUUUAGGACUUUUUUUUUUUUUUCCAGACCAUGGGAACAGUGACCAUGUGUUCUUAUUGGAUGAAAGUGUUCCAGCAGUGUGCCCUUGUGGCCAAGAGGGCCAAUGGCAUCCUGGGGUGCAUUAAAAAGAGCAUGGCCAGCAGGUCGAGGGAGGUGAUCCUCCACCUCUACUCUGCCCUGGUGAGGCCUCAUCUGGAGUACUGUGUCCAGUUCUGGGCUCCCCAGUACAAAAAAGACAGGGAUCUCUUGGAAAGAGUCCAGCAGAGGGCCACAGAGAUGGUGAAGGGCCUGGAGCAUCUCUCCUAUGAAGAAAGGCUGAGUGAACUGGGUCUGUUCAGCCUUGAGAAAAGAAGACUGAGAGGGGACCUGAUCCAGGUCUAUAAAUAUCUAAGGUGUGGGGGGCAGAAUGGCGAGGCUGGACUCUUUUCAGUGGUGAGUGGAGACAGGACAAGGGGAAACGGCAGGAAACUGCAGCAUAGGAAGUUCUGCACAAAUGUGCGCAAGAAUUUCUUUACAGUGAGGUGACGGAGCACUGGAACAGGCUGCCCAGGGAGGUGGUGGAGUCUCCUUCUCUGGAGAUGUUCAAGAGCUGCCUGGAUGCCUACCUGUGCGACCUGCUGUAGGGAACCUGCUUUGGCAGGGGGGUUGGACUCAAUGAUCUCUGGAGGUCCCUUCCAACCCCUACAAUUCUGUGAUUCUGUGAAAGCAGUGAGGGUGUGUGCAUGGGGGUGGCCUGAGAGAAGGAGUGUUGAAUUAGAGCAACUUUGUAAUAACAAAAACACAUCAAUUUUUUUCUUUUAUCUGUUAGGAGUCAUCUCUAUUUAAGUGGUAAAUCAGUUUCUAACUUGAAUAGAAAAAUCUCUUUGUUCUGUUAUGUAUUUGGAGACUUAAUUUAUACCAGCCUGUUCUCUAAAAGGAAUCUUUUGUUCUGUUUCUUUAAAUGUGCAUUGAGAUAGUGAAUGCCUUCAUUAGUAAUUACAUGCAGCUUGCCCUUGGGCAUAAAAACAGUAUUAUUCAGCAGUGAAUAGAUAACCUUAAAGUGGUUGGCUGGACUAAGGAGUUCCAUGUGCCAACAAUAUGGUGUAUACCACUGCUGGAAUAUGCUCCGGAAAACUCAGUGCUUGCCUCUUACUGUGUGAGUGUAUUUCAGCAGUGAGGGAGCAGUGGUUAAAUCCAAGAGUGGAGGCUGAGGUGUUUCUUCUCUUUCCUGACUUCUUGCAACUUCUGUGUUACAUUUCUUCUUCAUGCUCUGAAACUGGAGGAUGUUUCUUCUCCUCAUAGUUGUAUCAGCCUGUAGGCAUGAAUUCCUGUACAGUUUUAUAAAAGGAACGAACCAAAUAAACAUAGUGAACUGUGUUUUACACGAAACAGAAAUGCGUAGCUUCAUAACCUCAGGAGGGUAAUUUGCAUGUCUUUCACCUUCCCAGUGUAGCUGUAAUCUGGACUGAUGAAGCAAAUAUUCAAGAGGAUUUAGGAAGAAAAAACAAGUAGUGGUUUUAAAGAGGUGUUAAACAAACAUGGAUGUUAAUGCUAGUUAUGAGAGAACUGAAGUCUAAAGUACAAGUUUCUGUAGACAAAUGGAGAUGCAACACAAAGGGCUGAUGAUGAAGGAUGUUGCAAAUGUCUGCAUUUCAGAAGACGCUGCUUAUAAGAUGACUAAAUGCAUACAGAAUGGAAAUGAUCGAGUAAGCCAUUCAGUAGUGGGCCUGCAUUUUUUUUUGCUGCUGACACACAUACAGAAGCGUUUGUGUUGUAAUUGUUGCCCAUCAUGUUCCUCACAAAAUUGAACUCUGCGUGGGCUUUAAGAUCGACCACACUGCUUUGUAUUCAGGCUUCCUGCCAUCUUUUGGGUGGACUGUUCUUGAGCUAAGAGGAGGUAAAUUUGGAAAGUCAACUAUUUCUCCGGAGCCCCUCAUCUUUCUUAGGCUGCAUCCUUGUAUUGCUUCAAGCAGGUCCUUCUGUUCCAGAGAACCGUGUGUAUAUGUGUGUGUAUAUAUAUAUGUGUAUAUAUAUGUAUAUAUCCAUAUAUAACCCCAUGGAUACCUUGUCACUUAUGACAUAUCUCUGUGGAGUCAUUUGAAUGUACUUAACGUUGUUAAUAUUAACUAGUACAUGAGUACUAAAUAUUUAUCUUAAAUGUUAUCAGUAUAAAAAUGCUACUAAUAUCCAAUUAAAUAUCCAAUUAGAGGAUACUGGAAAUGGCUUGCUGCUGCUGUUCUUCAUGGGGUGUCAACUUGCUUUUAAAUUUUAAACCCUUUUUUUGUAAAUUUCUUCCAAGUUUCCACUUGAGGCAUUCAAUAUGUGUGGAUGGAUUUAAAUAUCCUUCAGCUGAGUCUGCAAAGCUGAUUUCUUUUUUUCUAGUAGGUCAAGUUUAAAAAUAUAUACUUUCUGUGUAACUUUCAAAGCUCUAGAUGAGAGGGCAAGUUAGUAAGCUUGCCUCUAUUUAUUGGUCUACACUAAACUUGACUUUCAUUACCCUACCUGUCUUUAUAGCUUUUACAGUGUAAUACUUGUGCCGAAUAAUGGAGAGGUUAAACAAAUGCAGUUUCUCAAACUUCACCAGAACAGCAGUAAAAAGGUCAGAUUUUAUUUAGUGUGCCGUGACUAAAAUGACAAAAAAAAAAAAAGGGUUGUGAAGGGCCAAUAGCUGCUAAACCAUCGAGUUUCCUGUAGCAGCUGAAGUACUACUUAAUUCUUGGCCAUAUUUAAUUAAAAAUAAAAAAGCCUUUUUUCCCUCCUCUCUUGAAAAAUCAAGGGGUAAGAUUGGGAACUUCAGUCAAUUUUUGUCUGGUUUCAACUUAACUUGAAUCUUUCUCUGGAAAGGUAAUUUCAGUAAGCAUAGCACUUCGUUUUCUUCUGUUAAGUUAAUACUGGAGAAAACCUGCAUUCCUGACCUCCCUUAGCUGCCUGCACUGGCACUUAGGCUGUCAGCCCAGCCCACCCCCCGUGCAGCAGGAAGAAAUGCAUUUCUCUGUUGAUCUGAUUUCCCUUCUUUCUCUGCCCCCAGCUUUGUGGAGAUUUUUUGCAACGCUGAACUAUAGAAUAUUAAAUGCUUCAUCUCUCACUUGCAAGCUAACUUGUGGCCCUGCAAUUUUGAAUGUGGGUAUGUAGACUCUCUGGAUGUUCUUGAGUAUUGCAACCCUGAAGCAGUUCAGUAACUUGUUUGAAGAGCUACAGCUUAGCCAUUGUUGCGAAAGACUCUUGGAUAGUUCUCUGCAAGAGGAGAAGGCAUAAAACUCUUCCCUGUGUGUGACUUUUGCUAGAAGAUAUUGAUGAAGCUGAUAAUUAACCAUAUAAAAGUAUAGCGUUAGAGGAAGUAAAAUAUGAGAGGUUUUGUAAGCUUGAAGGAUCUAGUUUUUACUUUCUAGUUGGCUUUCAAGCUGCCCCAACAUCUUAUAUUGUUUAUUUUGCUUUCAGUGUGGUGGUUGCUCCAAAUAAUUAUUUUCUUCAGUUCAGUUAUGUGUAAAUUCAGACCGACUUCCUCCAAAAAGACAAUGUGUUGGGGAAAAGCUAGCUUCUAAAAAGACUUGAACAGUUACCACCUUACCACCUACUGCUUUAACUGGUA